UCUGCAAGUGAGCUGGAAAGUGUCUGUUAAAAAGGAAUAGCUCAACUGAAACAAAUUUCUCUGGCUUUUGUCUCCAAGUGAACUGCACUGUGAAAGGACAUGAAAUGUGAAUGCACUGCCGAAGACGUUUACAGUAAAAGAUAAGAACGCUGUGUGACUGAAAACCAGAUUUGGGACUGAUCUCACCUAGUAUUGGAGAUCUAUCUCUGGAUAGUUACCCCAACAUUUUUGGGACUCCAUGGAGAGGAACAGGUGGGUUUGGGUGCAAUUUAUCUGACCUGUUUUAGAGGAGUUGUGACUCAGAGGUGACUGCUGCUCUCACUAACUAUGAAGAGGGUGUCUUGGGUCAGAGGAGUGCAAGAAAUUAUAUUUCACUAUUAGGUUUUGUUUUCAAUGCCCAACUGGGUUUGUGACCUAAGCCCAUUUCUUUAUUCAUAGAAGAGAUUUGGUUGUUUGGGGUUUUCUUUAAUUAAAAAAGAGCGUUAGAGCCAUGUGCCCAAAAGCUGGAAUGCUGCCACUCUGGUGCUUUUAGUGUGGAGAUUAGAAGAACAGUAGGUCGUAUUCCCUGUCUUUUUACUAAUAAAUGGUUAGCUGGAUUGUCCAACUACAUCACAAUUUCUGGGGUUUUUCUUGUCAGAUUAGCUAAGAAAGGCUACUAUUGUACGCAUAAUGUAUUGACCAGGUAACCCCUCCAAGUGAAGGAGGCUUGGAGCACAACUCCUGGCAAAAAGUAUAUCAGGAUUUCCAAAUGAAAAUACUUUCAUUUCUUACAUUUUGCUUUUUAUUUGAAAUUUGCAUGAAAAUAUAUUUUAAUGAAUACAUUACAGAAGUCUACCUUGUAUCCCAGUCCCAGGGGGAAAAAUAGUUUGUGUUGUAAUCCAGUCCAAAGUAACCAUGAUGAAUGAAAUUUCAAGCCUAAUUCAUACUUUAAAAAAUGCUAAAUUCAGCCAACAUAAAUGGUUUUAUGGUAAACAUUGAUUGUUCUGUAGAGUUGUUUUGUUCAAGAAAAGCAACUCACAUAAGUAAACCAAUAUACUUACUCAAAAGUCUUUUGAUGGAAAAGCAAGGCACUGUUUAAAUAACUGUAUUUUUUGCUAGCUAGACAAAGUUUUGACUUUUCAUUGGAAAACCAGAAUAUUUUAAUGAAAAUUGUUCUCCCUAGGGAUGAGAAACAUCUCCCACUUUUAUGUAAAUUUGUAUUUUCUAAAUAAAAAGAGCAGCUGUUGUGCAGCUUCUAAGAAGUGUGAAACAGUUUUCUUCUUUUCUAAGCCACUGCAGAUUUCACUAUGGCAAAAGUAAGCAGUUUAUUAGAUUAAGUUAACUUAGAUUAUUCAGACUAUUUUACAGUUAAAGCUGUUGAAAACAUCACAGAUCUUAAUUACUGGUUAUCACAGACUUGUAACAAAUUUGCAGUUAUUAUUUCUUUCAGAAAGUCUGGUCUCUCUAUCUUACCACCUCGGAAGAGCAGCAGGAUGUGAAUGUUACACACACGCUCACGACUUCAGGUCAUGCUUCUGGUUCGUGUUGCCUCCUUGCUACUGGCUGCUCUUGUCUAUGUUCCUCCUGCCACACCAGGCUGUGUUUUGGCGUAAAUGCGUUGUGGGCUGGAGGUCGUUUGAGGCCCUGUGCUCUUCAAGCCAAUGGGUCUCUUUAGCACAAACACUCACAAACACUGCAUUUUCUGGUCAUCAAUAAAAUGCCUACAGUAUGUGGGCACUGAACAAGUGGGUGAGGAUAAAACCAAAAAUUUUGUAGGUCUCAGUGAGGGAAGAAAAAGGUAGAUCUAUGGCAUAAGAAUUAACGACACACUGGACGUACUCAGAAGACAUACUUCAAGAAAUGUUGACCUUUUUUUUUUUUUUUUUUUUUUUUUUUGACCACAUUUGCUCAAAAAAUGACCACAAUUGACCAAAUGUGGACAACUGACCAAGAAAAGGAGACCAAUGAGAAGAGAAGAAGGAAGAUGCUGCUUCCAGUGGGGAGCUUCUCCAACAUGACACCCUGCUCUACUGCUACUUUUUUUUUUUUUUUUAAAUAUCUUUUAUAAUCUGACAAAGACCACCUAUUGACAUAAGAGGACAGGUUUUGUAUGGCAGGAAACACUGUAUAGGCACCGAUUACAGAAAUAAACUGUGUUGUGGAUGUGAUCUUAAAUACAUAUUUCUGGUUUCAUAAACAGCCUUCCUUCAUUUGUUGAGCGAUGAAAGACCACUAAGAUCUCAUCGGUCCGAAAAGGGAGAUGUGAAACCCUUUGCUGAUGGAUCUUUGCCAAGGGAGGUGGCAGGAGGGCAUGGGAAGGGAAAGAAGUGAGACAAAGACAUUGCAGGUGUGGAGAAAGGAGUUGUCUUUGUGUGUGUCAGAACAUGUCAGGUUACAGGAGGAAUGACGAAAUACAUUGGUGUUGGGAAAGUUACAGAUCCAGAAAUUACCAUCUACAGAUGGUUAGUGUAACAAGAGACUGCUGAUGAACGCUUGCGUUGGUGAAGUUCGUAGCAGUCUUGCCACUUGCUGCUGUGUGACUCAAGAUUUCCAUACAUUUCUGUGAUACAAGAAGGUGUUUGAAACUUGAUUUCUUUUGUCAUAAUCUGAAUGACCAGAAGAGAACCCAAUGAAAUAACUAGCAGAAAAGUAGCUGCCUGCAUAGAAGGAAAAAGAUUUUAAAGUGAGGCAUUUAUUGGAUGGCACAACCAGAAAUGAGCAGAGGGAAAGUACAAUACCCUUCCUCCCUACCUUCCUUGUGCAGCUGGACUCUACAGGAGGGUGGCUUGGAGAAUGAAGUAGCAAGCAUAGUCAAAGCUCUGUCACAAACUGAGUCCCUAAUGAAUAUCUAGUUCCUUAUUACCAGCCUUGCCUCUCCACGGGUGUUUUGGUGUUGUGCGUUUCUUAAAAAUUUCUGUGUCAGGUUAAAGUAACACAAAAGUUAGCUUUCUGCUACGUCUAGCAGAAGCAAACAUAUUAGCUCAACAAGAAAGUAAACAUGGGCACUUUAAAUCAUUAAUUCCAACUAGGGAUUCCAAAUCUUGCUUAAACUUUUUUUAGUUUUUUUCCUAGUCUGUGUAUCUGUAGUGUGACAUCUUUACAAUGCAAACCCUCUGUCACCUGUUCCAUAUGAUUAGUGUUUGAGAUGAUUUUCAGUGUCAGGUUGUGCAGGUUUUGGCUCACAAGAAGAGGCUAUUUAAACUUCUCCAUAUAGUCAAUGAUGCAGAUUACUCAUAGGAAAAAAGGACUGAGAGAUGGAAAAAGUUAGUAAUAUUUCCAGGCAAGUGGGCUUUCAAAACUGAUG